GUUCGUCAUCUUCCCACUCCUCCUCUAUAAAUAGCUCCCAAAAUUUAUGGCCUGCUUGUGCUCAGUUCACUCUUAUCAGUGAAUUAGAACAUAUACUUGUUUCCUUGACAGCUCGUUAUUUAGCAUGGCUAGGUCACUCGCUGCUCUCCUACUCCUUCUGGUCGCCGCCGCGGGAGACAGCCAUGCCGCGUCGCCAGCGGAGAUGUACUGGAAGAUCGCGCUCCCGACCUCGCCGAUGCCCGGCGCCAUCCGCGACCUCAUCAACCCGGCGAGCUCAGCGGGGUCAGCUUCGAAGGAGGACACGGUGGGCAACGUGUUCUUCCUCGAGAAGGACCUCUUCCCGGGCUCCAAGCUGACGCUCCACUUCACCCGCGCCACCGCCGGCGCCGCGCUGCUCCCCCGCGGCCGCGCCGACUCCGUCCCGUUGGCCACCGAAAAGCUCCCGGAGAUCCUCUCCCAGCUCUCCGUCCCCGCCGGCUCCCCGGCCGCCGACGCCAUGAGUGCGAGGCCGCGCCGCUCGCCGGCGAGGCGAAGCAAUGCGCGACGUCGCUCGAGUCCAUGGUGGAGUUCGCCGCGUCCAGCCUCGGCACCCGCGACGUGCACGCCGUGUCCACGGAGGUCGACAGGGCAGGGCCGGCGCCGAGGCAGGCGUACAGGGUGGAGGCCGUGAGGCCCGUGCCGGUGUCCGGCGGCGACAUGGUGGCGUGCCACGGCAUGGCCUACGCGUACGCCGUGUUCGGGUGCCACACGACCACGGCGGCGGCGUACACGGUGGCGCUCUCCGGCGCCGACGGGACUAGGGCGGAGGCGCUCGCGGCGUGCCACGCCGACGCGGCGCCGGGGGUGGCGGAGGCGUACAAGAGGCUCGGCGUGGCGCCCGGGAGCGUGCCGGUGUGCCACUUCUUGCCACAGGACGACAUGCUCUGGGUGCGUAACUGAGCGCGCGCGCGUGAAAGGGGAUAAAAAUUGUGUGAUCUCAAGAUAGCUCCUUCCUAUAUUUUGGAGCUAUAUGCGUAUCAUGUCUUAUCAUAUGUGUAUGCGACGACCCGAAAUGCCACUACUAUACUUGUGGCAGCAUGUUAAUAAGUCUGCAUGUACGAUUCAUCGAUCCAUACAUCUUGUAUGACAAUGUUACACGGUUGUAUACACCACUACGUAAAAUAUUUUCUUAGCUA